rnacentral:rRNA from 1 species
UGAGGAAUAUUGGUCAAUGGGCGCGGGCCUGAACCAGCCAAGUAGCGUGAAGGAUGAAGGUCCUAUGGAUUGUAAACUUCUUUUAUAGCAGAAUAAAGUGACCCACGUGUGGGUUUUUGUAUGUAUGCUAUGAAUAAGGAUCGGCUAACUCCGUGCCAGCAGCCGCGGUAAUACGGAGGAUCCGAGCGUUAUCCGGAUUUAUUGGGUUUAAAGGGUGCGUAGGCGGAAAGAUAAGUCAGCCUGUGAAAGUUUGCGGCUCAACCGUAAAAUUGCAGUUGAUACUGUUUUUCUUGAGUGUACAUAAGGUAGGCGGAAUUCGUGGUGUAGCGGUGAAAUGCUUAGAUAUCACGAAGAACUCCGAUUGCGAAGGCAGCUUACCGGGGUACAACUGACGCUGAUGCACGAAAGUGUGGGUAUCAAACA